rnacentral:rRNA from 1 species
UACGAAGGGGGCUAGCGUUGCUCGGAAUCACUGGGCGUAAAGCGCACGUAGGCGGCUUUUUAAGUCAGGGGUGAAAUCCUGGAGCUCAACUCCAGAACUGCCUUUGAUACUGAGAAGCUUGAGUCCGGGAGAGGUGAGUGGAACUGCGAGUGUAGAGGGUGAAAUUCGUAGAUAUUCGCAAGAACACCAGUGGCGAAGGCGGCUCACUGGCCCGGUACUGACGCUGAGGUGCGAAAGCGUGGGGAG